AUACGAAGGGGGCUAGCGUUGUUCGGAAUUACUGGGCGUAAAGCGCACGUAGGUGGAUGAUUAAGUGAGAGGUGAAAGCCCGGAGCUCAACUCCGGAAUUGCCUUUGAUACUGGUCGUCUUGAGACCGGGAGAGGAGAGUGGAAUUCCCAGUGUAGAGGUGAAAUUCGUAGAUAUUGGGAAGAACACCAGUGGCGAAGGCGGCUCUCUGGCUCGGUACUGACGCUGAGGUGCGAAAGCGUGGGGAGCAAACAGGAUUAGAUACCCCAGUAGUCC
rnacentral:rRNA from 1 species